rnacentral:rRNA from 1 species
UACGGGGGGAGCAAGCGUUGUUCGGAUUUAUUGGGCGUAAAGAGCUCGUAGGCGGUUCGGUAAGUCGGGUGUGAAACCUCCAGGCUCAACCUGGAGACGCCACCCGAUACUGCUGUGACUCGAGUCCGGUAGGGGAGCGUGGAAUUCCUGGUGUAGCGGUGAAAUGCGCAGAUAUCAGGAGGAACACCAGCGGCGAAGGCGGCGCUCUGGGCCGGAACUGACGCUGAGGAGCGAAAGCGUGGGGAUCAAACAGG